UACGAAGGGGGCGAGCGUUGUUCGGAUUUACUGGGCGUAAAGCGCGCGCAGGCGGUCUUCCAAGUCAGUGGUGAAAGCCCGGAGCUCAACUCCGGAACUGCCAUUGAAACUGUUGGACUUGAGUACGAGAGAGGUGAGUGGAAUUCCCAGUGUAGAGGUGAAAUUCGUAGAUAUUGGGAAGAACACCGGUGGCGAAGGCGGCUCACUGGCUCGUAACUGACGCUCAGGCGCGACAGCGUGGGGAUCAAACAGG
rnacentral:rRNA from 1 species